CCUAUGACUGCCAGGAGAAGACAUUGAUUAGCCACUGUGACCAUCUUGAACACCAUCAGUGUGAUCAUGAUGAUCAUGACCAUACUCAUCAUGAUGACCAUGGUAACCAGUCUCACCACCAUAACAACCAUCAUGACCACUCUCCCCUUCAUGAACCCUGUGACCACCAUCAUCAUGAUCAUACUCAUCAUGAUGACCAUGGUAACCAGUCUCACCACCAUCACAACCAUCAUGACCACUCUCCCCUUCAUGAACCCUGUGACCACCAUCAUCAUGAUCAUGACCAUGGAAAUUUCCUUCAAUCCCAUAC
rnacentral:lncRNA from 1 species